rnacentral:rRNA from 1 species
UACGGAAGGCAGCAGUGGGGAAUAUUGCACAAUGGGCGAAAGCCUGAUGCAGCUAUGCCGCGUGUAUGAAGAAGGCCUUAGGGUUGUAAAGUACUUUCAUCGGGGAGGAAAAACAAAACUAAUAAUUUUAUUUCUUGACGUUACCCGAAAAAGAAGCACCGGCUAACUCCGUGCCAGCAGCCGCGGUAAUACGGAGGGUGCUAGCGUUAAUCAGAAUUACUGGGCGUAAAGAGCACGUAGGUGGUUUUUUUAAGUCAGAUGUGAAAUCCCUGGGCUUAACCUGGAAACUGCAUUUUGAAACUGAAAUACUAGAGUAUCGUAGAGGGAGGUAGAAUUCUAGGUGUAGCGGUGAAAUGCGUAGAUAUCUGGAGGAAUACCUGUGGCGAAAGCGGCCUCCUAAACGAAUACUGACACUGAGGUGCGAAAAGCGUGGGGAGCAAACAGGGAUUAGAUACC